rnacentral:ncRNA from 2 species
AUCGAGCGAGGCAACGUUAGUAACGCCUCGUAAGAGGGAACCCGGUGAGAAUCCGGGACUGUCCCGCAACGGUAUGCAGGAACGACCGCCGUCAGAGUUUUUGGCAAGCACUGGUCGUAAGACUGGGAAGCGACGGCCAUUAGGAGCACCGCCUCGGUGCGCGCCUGCGAGUCCGGAGACCUGCCAGCUGUGCCGGGCGCGC